rnacentral:rRNA from 1 species
GCAACGCGAAGAACCUUACCUGGUCUUGACAUCCCGGAGACCCUUAGGAAACUAGGGGUGCUUCCAUCUGGAAGAAUCUGGAGACAGGUGCUGCAUGGCUGUCGUCAGCUCGUGUCGUGAGAUGUUGGGUUAAGUCCCGCAACGAGCGCAACCCUUGCCUUUAGUUGCCAGCAGUUCGGCUGGGCACUCUAAAGGGACUGCCGGUGUUAAACCGGAGGAAGGUGGGGAUGACGUCAAGUCCUCAUGGCCUUUAUGACCAGGGCUACACACGUACUACAAUGGCCGAUACAAAGGGCAGCGACACUGCGAGGUGAAGCCAAUCCCGUAAAAUCGGUCUCAGUCCGGAUUGGAGUCUGCAACUCGACUGCGUGAAGUCGGAAUCGCUAGUAAUCGUGAAUCAGAAUGUCACGGUGAAUACGUUCCCGGGCCUU